rnacentral:rRNA from 1 species
ACGCUAGCGGGAUGCCUUACACAUGCAAGUCGAACGGAGUGGCGAACGGGUGAGUAAUGUAUCGGAGCGUGCCCAGUAGCGGGGGAUAACUACGCGAAAGCGUAGCUAAUACCGCAUACUAUUGGAGCGGCCGAUAUCGGAUUAGCUAGUUGGUGGGGUAACGGCUCACCAAGGCGACGAUCCGUAGCUGGUUUGAGAGGACGACCAGCCACACUGGGACUGAGACACGGCCCAGACUCCUACGGGAGGCAGCAGUGGGGAAUUUUGGACAAUGGGGGAAACCCUGAUCCAGCCAUCCCGCGUGUGCGAUGAAGGCCUUCGGGUUGUAAAGCACUUUUGGCAGGAAAGCGGUACCUGCAGAAUAAGCACCGGCUAACUACGUGCCAGCAGCCGCGGUAAUACGUAGGGUGCAAGCGUUAAUCGGAAUUACUGGGCGUAAAGCGUGCGCAGGCGGUUCGGAAAGAAAGAUGUGAAAUCCCAGAGCUUAACUUUGGAACUGCAUUUUUAACUACCGAGCUAGAGUGUGUCAGAGGGAGGUGGAAUUCCGCGUGUAGCAGUGAAAUGCGUAGAUAUGC